rnacentral:lncRNA from 1 species
UCUUGUCGAAUCCCUCAUAUCUUAGUCUCUAGGUUCCUGAGAGAUGUCGUUUGGUUUGUGUCUUCAUCCAUGGCGUCACAGCUUAGAUUGCUUGUGCAUGAUUCGUGCGAGCGUCGAUUUCCUAUCUCCGAACUGCGCCUCUGGUUUUCGAUUUUGUUUUGGUCUUGUUUUGAGGGUUUGGUCUCAAUCGAAGGUCUUCGAGCUUGAUUUGUCUUACAAUGGUUGCUCUGGUUCGCUAUGGGUUUUGGGUUCGAUCUAUUGUGUUUUACCCAAGGUUCAGGACCUGUCUUGGGUUUAGUACGACAAGGUCAUGGGGAGUUUCGUCGGCGGGCCAUCAGGGUUUUCCCCGAUUUGGUCUUUUCUUGAUUCUUGACACUCAAACGUUGUUUAGCGAAAAUGGCUAGCUGAGGUUGGGGUUUGUUCAAACAUGGCGAUUCUGGUGAUAUGGUGUGACUGAACAGUUCUAAAAGCUGAGUUUAUUGAGGC